rnacentral:rRNA from 1 species
UACGUAGGGUGCAAGCGUUAAUCGGAAUUACUGGGCGUAAAGCGUGCGCAGGCGGUUUUGUAAGUCUGUCGUGAAAUCCCCGGGCUUAACCUGGGAAUGGCGAUGGAGACUGCAAGGCUAGAAUCUGGCAGAGGGGGGUAGAAUUCCACGUGUAGCAGUGAAAUGCGUAGAGAUGUGGAGGAACACCGAUGGCGAAGGCAGCCCCCUGGGUCAAGAUUGACGCUCAUGCGCGACAGCGUGGGGAGCAAACAGG